CAGUAGCCGCGGUAAUACGAAGAGUGCAAGCGUUAAUCGGAAUUACUGGGCGUAAAGCGUGCGUAGGCGGUGAGUUAAGUCUGCUGUGAAAUCCCCGGGCUCAACCUGGGAAUGGCAGUGGAUACUGGCUCGCUAGAGUGUGUCAGAGGAUGGUGGAAUUCCCGGUGUAGCGGUGAAAUGCGUAGAGAUCGGGAGGAACAUCGGUGGCGAAGGCGGCCAUCUGGGACAACACUGACGCUGAGGCACGAAAGCGUGGGGAGCAAACAGGAUUAGAUACCCGCGUAGUCCCUGUCUCUUAUAC
rnacentral:rRNA from 1 species